ensembl:lncRNA
AAAAAAAAAAAAAAAGGAGUAUAAAAGAAUCAUCUGUUUGUGUAGAGAAUCUGCUGAAAAAGAAACCAGGUGGUGGCAAAAGAACCACGUAAACAGUUAACUCAAACAACACACAGUUGGGUGCAGCUUGGAUCUGCUUAUAGCCAACACAUGGGAACUCUGGGCAAAGCUGUAGCGCACUAGUUAUAGACUCAUCCCAUAGACUUAGAGAUGGAAAACACUUAUUAGGACAUUCCAGUAUGGUGCAGAUGCUCAAGUAUGGUCCUGUUAUGUGGAAAAUUAAUUGAUUCUGACCUCAUGAAUAAAUUUCAUCUUCACAGGUACCAGGAAAACCCAACACGACUCAGAGUCUGAUGAGGUUUUGAAUGCUGGUAAACUCACAUGACAUUAUUUUUGUUAUUUAAGUUUCAAAAGGCAAAAUUCAACCCAGGGACAAGCCUGGCCUGUAUUUUCCCCAACUCAAUGAAAGUGAUUAAUAUUUUAAAAAUAAUUCUAGCUAACCUUGUGGACUUGUGCCCAUCAGGAACAAAAAAACCCUGACCUCACUCCUCUGUGUCUCCCUAAUUCCUUUCUUUUGGACUUCCACUGUGAAUUGCACUGUAAACACUCACUGUCAUUAAACUCUGGUACACAGAGCUGCUUCAGCUGCUGCACAGUCCAGCUCCCAUGGGAGCACGUGGAAAUCCCUGAUACAAAGGGGAUGUGAAAGGACCAACGAUGUGUUCUCAAAUGGAAGUGACUGUCGGUUUUGUUCCUCGUGCUGCCAAAUGCAAGGAAGGCUGGGACAUGCAGCUCUGUGACUGCAGGCCUUGCAAAGAAGGAGCACGUAUGUAUGUAAGGAGAAGGAUAGAUAGGUUUUAUAGCAGUGUUCAUCCCCAGAAUGCAAAGAAUAUAGUGGGAGAUGUUGCAAUACCUUGCUGCUUUCCCACAUAUCAAAUGCUGGGGAUUGCUCCAUUAGUCUCAUAAUUCAUAGGAGCUGUGGGAGUUGUACAGCAUAUCUGUCUGGAAAAGACAUUUUGUGGAGAAAAAGGUAGUGGGUUUUACCAGACAAGCUGAUGCAGAUGGAAAACACCCACCAAGCCCUACAGGACAAAUAUGUAAGAUUUUACUUCUUUCUGAAAACUGUCUCAUUUACUCCUGCAGCCCAUUGUGGUGGGAAGGCUUGUGCCUUAGCACAGCGGUGUUUUCUUACACUUUUCCAUCACGUAAAACCACUCAGCUCUGGGAAAAGGCACAAGAGCACCAGUUUAAUGUUCUGACCAUAGGUACAGUCACUGCAUUACCUGGACCCAUCCCUGCUAGACACUGACCUCAGUGCUGUAGAACUUGCAAAGAAUAGCAAGAGAUCAUAGAAUCAUAGAAUCAUUAAAAGAUAUCUAAGAUUAUCUGAUCCAACCAUCAAAGCAUCCCCACCAUGCCCACCAACCGCUUCCCUCAGUGCCACAUCUUCACAGUUCAUGAAUACAUCCAGAGGCUGUGACUCCAUCACCUCCCUGGACAGCUUGUGCCACUCUAUGACCACUCUUUCUACGAAUAAGUUUUUCCUAAUGUCCAACCUGAACCUUCCCUGGUGCAAUUUAAGGCCAUCACCUCUUGUCCUGUUGCUGCUACCUGGGAGCAGAGGGCAACCCCCACUUCACAACAAUCUCCUUUCAGGUGGUUGUAGAGAGCAAUAAGGUCACACCUGAUCCUCUUCUCCAGACUGAACCAUCCCAGUUCCCUCAGCUGCUCCCCAUCAGACUUCUGCUCCAGACCCUUCCCAGCUCUAUCGCCCUUCCCUGAACACACUCCAGAGCCUCAGUAUCUUUCUUAUAGUGAUCUUCCUUGUAUGAUGAACAAGCUGCUCUAAUGACCGCUUCUGUGCCCUGUUCUCUUCACUAAUAAUAUAGAUCAUGUAUCGCUGUUGCUUAGACAUAGUUGGUGGGGAUGGCACUGGGGAGAGUGUCCCAGCUUCUGCUCAGACCCUCUCAGGGGUCGUGUGCCCACACACCUGGCCUUCCACAAACCCUUCCUGCUGCCUUCGUCCUGUGCUAUGUGUAGUAGUGACAUCUGUGCACCAAUGGUGGUUUAUUGCUCUAGGUAAGUGAAAGAGCAGCAGAAACCACAGCCUUCCCUUGGGUUCUGUUUGUUUGGCAACUCCCAAACCACAGAGCCUGUUUUCAGAGGGAGGACUAGGAAACCCUCAAGAAGAGCUGAAGGUGGGAGGUGGCUGCAGUGGGGGUCCCAGGCAUAGAUGGAAGACCUGGCAGGAGCAGAACCUCCAGGAGCUGCCUGCAGAUGGGGAUGGGCAAGGGGAGAUGAGGUCAGAGAGGUCCUGGCGGGUGGAGCGCAUCCCAGGAGGGAGGUCACGUCCAAGAGAGCAGAUCUCAGUAAGUCAGAUGAAUUAUGUUGCUUAGAGCAGCACAGAUAACAGCUAAGGAGGCUGGGGCUGUCUCUGACUCAGGUUUCCUUAUGCUGAGCAUUUUGCAGAGCACCUUUUAUUGCCUUGUCUACUGCCAAACAAAUGGAUAAAUAACCCCGUGCCUCUCCCCCAGGCCUUCUUAUCAUCAGGGUGUGAGUAAGCCCUGGUGCUUGGAUCCAAACUCACACUCCCAGCCUCCUGGGAUGCCCAUCACGCGAUCCCUUUCAGGUCUGCACACAUCCUCAGGACCUGAGAGUGCCCCUCUAGGCUGCCCCAUGGACUUCAUGGUGAUUUCCAUGGAAGAGCUGUCCUUCAGUGAGUCCUCCCAUAGCCAGGGUAACUCAGUGGGCUCUGAUGAACCCUGCAGUCAGAAAGCCACCUCUCCAAUGACAGGAGAUCCUCAAGUGUAGUAGGGUCCUUCCAAACUUCAGAUGCAAUUAAUGAUUAGAUGUUAAUUCUGUCAGCAAGUGGUGGAGGUGGUGCACCUAUUGACCAGAGGCACUGAGCUGAACAAACCUGCUGCAAAGAACCAAGCACAGAAGGACAUGUUGCUUGCAUUUAACUGUCUGUGAGGAUGAGAGCUGUCUUCAUCCACUUGCAUCCAUCUGGGCUUUGCUGACAGCAUAGCACAUAUCAGAGCACCGUCUGUUAUUCCAGCACAGCAGUCAGCAACAAGACCUCAACCUCCGUGUGCUAGAUAAAGCAUCUUGAGGUUAUGUAGAUGAAUGAUAACAGUCAAGAUUAGACAACCGCAACUCUGUACACACGCUGCUGCUGCUGGCUUGCAGCUCUGCGAGGGUGACCGCCAAGCUCUGUGUGCUCACGGGGCUGCCAAUUCCCCAACCACAGCUCCCCAUGCUAGUGGGACUGCCACUUCUCCAGCCACCUGCUCAAGGCCAAGCAGCAGUGCAUUGCAAGCACACCUCCCCACCUACCCUGCUUGCCUUGCAGAAUCAAGGUGUUCACUAAAGGCCUUGCUGCAGAAACCGUCUUCUGCUUGGAAACUGAAACCUUCCAGUUCUUUCCCAUCAGCUGCCCAUCAGGGCUGCCCAUGGAUGUAUCAGCCACCCCAACAGAGCUGAAGCUCCUACUCCUCUAGACCCAGCAUGAAAUGCCUCUCCUCUUGGGGCAGCACUACCCAUCAGGCACUUCUCCUGGGCAUUACCACUCGUAUUUGAAAGUGCAGGAAGGGCUGGAUAUAACGAGCGUGUUCCUUGCUCCACCAAACUCCAGUGAUUUUAACACAGGUCUUCAGAUUUCCUGGCAAUUUGCCCAUUUGUAGGAGUGUCACACUGCAACAAGUGGUCAUAGAAAACCAAUGGAUACAGAGGAGAGGUGAGAAGCAUGUUCCUCCUGCGCUGCAAGCAAUGAAAUUAAUAAAGCACCUACAAAACACGCUGUUCUUCAGCCGGAGACCAGCCCUGGGCUGUGACGCAGCAGCUGAGUUUGCGUGCUCCCAUCAGGGACACACAGGGCUGCAGCCACGCUUGGGCACACACCUCCCAUCACAUGUCUGGGCCAAGGAGCCAGAAGUCAGGAGCUCCUGACCCAAUGCAAGAAGUGCCAAGCAUUCUCCAUCCCUUCCAAAGGAAACGGUGGAGUCAGCACAAUCCUACCUACACCCGGACUCCACCGAGGCAGCUCAGGAUUGGAAAAUCCCAUUACCACCCGUUGAGACACCGUUAAACAAUUUCCCAGCCCCGCCAUGUGACCGUGCACAGGCUACACGGGAGCCCAGGCUUUAGCAGUGCUUUCACACUUCCAAAAUGUGUCUGCUGGGUCACGUGGAGGCUUUCCAAACCCCUUAAAUCCACCUGACAAAUUCACCUUCCCAACCUAAGUCAGCAGACCAGUUGGGAAGGGAGCACUCAGCACCACCUCCGACCACGUGUGCUCCUCACCUGGGGUUUUUUGGCCUGCUGCAGGCUGGACGGUGAGCGUACAGAACAUACCAUGCAAAUUGCUGUGCAUCUCCGUGCAAGCUUGGCUUGUGGCAGAACUCUUCCCAAAGCAAGUAUUCCAGGCUCGCAUAUAAAUUAAAGCUCAUAAAUCAGUUGAGAAAAAAUCUCCUCGAUGGCAAUGGCCAACUUGUUAGAAGGGAGCUAAAGGCUACAAACGGUUCUCAAUGAAGCCUCGCUAGCUGUCAAGAAUGCACGAGGCAGCGGCGGUGUUUGGAUUGGGAACGCGAGUCGGAUUUUUCUCCCCUCUUUUGAGGACAAUGAAAUGUAGCAGCUUUCCUUCCCCUCCGAGCUGCUCGGAGUGACCCGAGCCGGCAGACAACAGCACAGAUACAAUCUCUGGAAAUCAUGAAGUGAUCGAAGAAUGGCUGAGGAGUUCUGAAUAACUAAAUAAAGUCCUCUGUGUUUUCUUUAGCAAGUAAAGAAAAUACUUUUAGCGUUUUAGUGUGACUUUUGGGGUCAAGGGGGAAUCUCGAGUCCAAAUACAACAAACCCGUGUGGAAAUUGCUGCCAAGAGUCUGAUAGCUGGGCUGGGAGUUUGCCUUGAGGCUCAGAUGUGCGAGUGCAGCCCGCUGGAGGCAGGCUGAGCCUGAGCUCUUGCUCAGAGCAUGGGAAUCUCGGGCACGUCCUCCCUCCUCCAGCAGCGUGCCCCUCUGCAGCUCAGUGCCAGCACCCAGCCAUCCCAACAGCCAGGGCUGCGGGUCAGCACAGCAGCGCUUCCCAGUGCCUGGUGCAGAUGAUAUUCCGUUAGCAACACCUUACAGCAUCGUCCUGCAUUUCUCUUAAAUGCCCUUUUAGGAAAUACGUUAUCACUAUGGGAUGUUACUGGGGUCACAAAGCACAGUGUUCAUGGGUGAGCCGGGGUGCUCAAUAAAGGAAUAGGAAAAGAAAAUUUCUGGUAUCUCAGCUUCCUGAUCUUUGAAGCACUGCAGUAGAUAGAAUUGCCUUCUCUAGCACACCCCCUCGAAGACUUAACUGUUUCUUUUUUUAACCUCACACUGCUAAAACAGUCAAAUCUUCCAAUACCAUAUAUAUUAUAAAGUAGAAAUGUAAUUCUGGCUUCAAAUGUACAUUCAAAAAAUCUUCAGGUUGUUUUUUUUUUUUUUUUUAGGUUUGCCUAGAGAAUAAUUGAAUACUUGUGUUAGAACAUCACCCCCAGUGCCAAUUUCACAUACCCCAUCUGUCAUCAUUGGCACAGGUGGAAGGACUCUCCUUCUGCUCUGAUGCCACGAAGAGAGGAUCCACGCUGCAGAAGCACACCCCCUUGGUUUCUUAUUCCAGCAUAGGAUUGCUGUAGCCAUGAUGGGCAAAAGAGAUAAAGGAUAUAGGAGAGGGAUAAUGUCUUUUGCUGGACCAAUAUAGCCCUCCCAAAAAGCAGACUAACUUUUAGACACACAAGGUCUUCUUCUGCGAGCUUUUUGGGGAUCGUAACAGCCUAAUGAAAAAUAUCUCCUCUCUCUUCAAAAUUCUCUUAUUCACAGCAUUCAGCCAUGUGAAAUCCACGUUACAAGAAACAUCAUAUAUGUUUUCUCUUAUUUUCUUCUGUUACAUUCCUGUUUGUGCAAAUGAGAUGCACCUAGGGUUCUCGCAGCCUUGCCUACCUCAUACAAAGAUGCAUUGCACAGCUUCCUCACCAAGCCAUCUGCUCUCAGAGAGGAGAAAGCCAACAUCUGACAUACCACAUACCAUCAAGCAGCCUCAAAAGGACAGUAGUGGGCAAAUGAUACCCUGCAUCUGCUCAGCUCGCAUUCAUUUCCAGCCACCUAAGGUUUGGCUGCAACAGCUCUUCUAAACCCAAAUACAUAUGUUGGCUUAGAGACACCAUAGUAAAGUAGCCUAACAAACCAAAGCAAUUGGUUUUAAUAAGAAUCUUGGCUUGUUUUGACAAUGCACUGAAUCUUCAUGUUGGCACCGCGAAUGUUUUUUUAGGAAAAUGUAUGCAUCUUUGCAGCUCUCAGCAACUAAAUCCUCUCUGCACUUCAUGGAAAGGGUUUCCUGGCUAUCCGCUUUCCGACGUAUUCCAAGUUCCUUGCAGCUGAUUGUUGUCUAGGCUGAAAUACUUUCAUACGAAGCUCAGCUAUUUGCCCCCGUUGCGUGCUGUGUGCCGAUGGUGUGCGGGUCUCACGCAGUGCCCUUCAUCCUCCCGCACCUACAGAAGGGGCCGGGGCUGCGGGGACGUUUCAGUGCUUCCUGAAGUGCGUUGUGCAGAUGUGUUUGGAAUAGCAACGGAAGCGGCUGUCUCCCUCUACCCAGCCUUAUUACAGGCAGUAGCAAUGCUCCCAGAGUUCAAAGGCAUUUCAUGCUCACUGAGCGUUUUUCAGCAAGAAAUCUGAGAUUAAAUAAACUCCAAUCCUCUCUGAGGAGAAAGCAGAAGAUGGAGGGAGAGGCGCUGACUCUCGCUGCGCAGCAUGCAUCUUGGUGUACCUUGGAAAACACCCAGGCGAGGUGCUCCUCAAGCACACAUCUGGCCAGGACAUUUCACUGCUGGGGCCAGGGCUGUGCCUGCUGCUUUUGAAUGGGCUCGUGCCAAGGAUGCCAACCCACUCACAACCCGAACGGCACCCAGGAUGUUCCCCAGCCUGAGUCCUACCACCACCGUGCUGGCUCCUGAGAGGCCAGGUGAGGUUACGUUGGAUUUACAGCCUUUCUCCUGUUUUCUGCUGUAAAAGGUGGUAAGCUAGAUUGUCACCAACAGAAAUAUUUAGCUUUCAGUGAGAGUAGGCACGUGACUCCUUCUCAAGUGCUGACCUGCUCCUUAGCAGCAGCCUACAUCCUGCUCUUGUGCUAAGGAAUCACGUGCCCAGGGCAAAUUUCUGGCCACGGACACACAGGUGUUGCUCAGCCAUACUCAGCGGGCACAAGGAAUUGGGUUGUUUAAUCUUACUCCUCUCCAUAGUGACACUGGCUCUGUGGGAAAAAGAAAAUACUUGAGUCAUAGAAGUGACUGAAGUGCCAUUCCCAGCAACGCGGAUGUUUACCCAGGCUCAGCUGGUCCAGUUCUGCCCUUAGCAGGCUGUAAGGUUUACUCCUUGCACCCCCUGUUCCCCCAGUGAGUACCAUAGCUGAGGGUGGGCAUGGACUCCAUGCAAAGCUGGGAACAUUUCAUCUCUGUGCAUCUGCCAGACUAGGGGCAAGGUGUGAGCACAUUCCCCACAGCUCAGGGAAGUCCUGUGCUCAGCUUCUGGGGCUGGGCUGGCUUCUCCAGACUCAUAAAGGUGUUGAUGCUCUUACAGACUGUGCAGAUGUUGUCAAAGAGUACAGGGCAUGGACAUCCACACCCUCAGCAUGCUUGGCUGCUUCACUCCCAUGAGCUUCACCGAGACAAAGACAUUUAAUACCACUGAGGAUCUGAGCCCAGUGUGGUUUGGAAAAUCCCAUUAGAUACCAUUCCUCAUCUUCAGGUGACUAAACACUUCAGAAAUCCAGUCCCAAAUGCCCUUGGAGACUCAACAAUCAACAUGUCAGUCUUUUCUGGACUGCCCUGUUAAAGAUCACUACUACAGUGCUGGAAAAACCACCCAGGUUAGACCUGACCCCAGAAAGGCCAUCAAGCCCCUAAGCUAGGUACGAUGCAGAGGUAAUUAGUGCAUACUCUGCUGCAGACAAUACACUGUGAGCCCAGGAUAGAUGUAAAAGCCUGAGAGGCAGACAUGGAAGAGUGUUAUGUUCUCUGUCUGAGAUCCGAAUCCCAGUGAGGGUGGAAAUAGCAAUGUAGGACAGCUGUGAGUAUGCUUAGUAUUAAUAUCAAAUAUAAUGGUAAUUCAAAACAGAAUCUUUUGGUACAGAUCUGAACUGCACAAGCCAAGUUAUGAAAUGAUAUUAGCAUCUGGAUCUGAGAAGCAGCUGAGACUAAGUUGGCCAGCAUUUGCCAUAUGUCUCAUCUGCAGAGAAUAUUUAAAUAAGUAAACACAAUGAGUUAAUAUAAAUGAAAUAACUUUGCAAGAUAAGCACCUUUUUGUGCUAGUGGAAUGGCAGAUUGUCAGAACGACCACGUUCAAUGGAAAUUCUGAAAGGGGAAAAUUCAGAUGGCACACUACUGGCUUUUCAACUGGCUAGAUAGCAUAGCCCAGAAUGGUGAACAUUUACAAUGAUUCUUAUCUGCUGGCAGGUGAGAGAAUCCCACUGCUGUUGCCAAAGCCUUAACUCAUCAAAAAAUUAGUGGUUCUUUCUUGGAAACGUGAGCUAAAACCUUUCACAGAUCUUCUAGCUACAUCUCUGUGUUGGGAAAAGGGGCUAUAAUUUUAAGAGCAUCAAAGGUAUAGAAAGCCGUGCUGCUUUCCAGUAAUUCCCUGACAACACCUAGAGGGUGAAACAAACCUGCUGGUGGUCUGAUCUGAAGGGGAAAAAAAAAAAUCGUAAAUGCUGAUUCUGGGAAAUAAAUUAUUCCCUAAAAACAAGCCAGACAGAUCCAGUGCCUUCAUUUCAUUUUGACUUGUGCAACCCUCUGAAUGUCUCCAGCGAGGAAUUAACCUAGAGAGGAUUUCAGUAUUUGGCCCAGGAGAAACUCUUAAGGGACUACCACAGUUCAGGCUUUUUCUUAAGAAGUCUCUCCCCUUUGAACAGCAGAUCAAGGCUCGAGCACCACGUCAAUGGCAUCCAGUUGCUUGGCCAUGCACAGGGCUCCUAAACACGUCCAGCCUCCCAGGCAGUACACUGUGAUGCUGAGUCACAUUCCUUUAUUGAUGAAGAAGAGAGAAAACUAUUAAUUGCAUACCAAGGACAUUUUCUACAAAGGAAAUUGGUAAGCUCAGCACCUCCUUAGAAGACGUCAGUGGUAUCGUUCUAAUAGGCCCUGGCAAUUCCGCGUGCCAUCAGUCCAUCAGCCCCAGCUUUUUUCACUUUGAUUGGUACAAAAUGUUUCUGAAAACCGACACUGCUAAUAACAAUAGGUGCCCAAAGUGAUCGCUUGCAGUUAGUUUGAGGAAAGUUCAAAGACUGAGUUUAUUUUGGCUCUCCAAACCAGAGCAUGUAACAUUCUUUUAAUUUAGAACAGGACCUUGCUUCAGCUCUCCUUGGAUGGAUACAAACAGGUCCUAAGGAUGCAUGAGCUGAGUGGCCCAGUCUGUUUUUGUUCGCUUCAUUUUUGCAUGGGAUACCAACAAACUGGCUGUUCUGAAGAAUCAAAUAGCAUGCAUUCAGGUUUCAGGGGCUUGGGGUUAGUUCAAGCAGGUGUAAAAUCCCCGCAAGGCAUAAGGGGGAUCCACAAAAGCAAAUCAUACCUGAACAGUCAAUAUAACCUUUUCCUUGCUUCUUCCAUACAGUCUGUGAACAAAGUUAAAUUUUAUAUAGGCUGAUGAUGCCUACUGGUUGUGAUUCUUAGUGGGUAAAAGCUUGAGGAUUCAGUGUGUCAUUCACUUCGCCACAUAUUCCAAGUUCUCCUUGCUGCUGUGCAAUUACAUUCAGGUUCCAAACCCACAGCAACUGACCUCAAGGGUCGUUUGUGCCUCUGCCACCUACCUGAAGAGACGAAGCACGCUGAGUGGUAAUUUUUUUUAGUGAUAUGGGAAAGCAUAAAACACAUUCUCGUGCAUGAAAGUGAAGAGUGAAGCGGCUUGAACCAACAAGAACGAGCAAUCAGCCCAAGAGCACAAACACACAGAAAUAUGAUGGGUAUGAAAUCAUUCAGAGCCAAUCAGUAAGCUCCCAACUUCUAAAGCAAUUUCAUAAUUGAGUAAUGGGACACAGCAGGGUCUGAACUAUUGUGUAUUAUAAUCUGAAUGGAAUGCUGUGAGAAGGCUCGAGCAAUCUGAUCGCACCGAGCCCUUGCUCACCAGAAAUGCCUUUGACAUAUUUCCUUAAAGCACAGCAACGAGAGUGAAGUAACUGCUUGUUAAUGACACCCCGAUGGGUUGUCUGCAGCGCUGAAACUGAGAUAGCAGAGAUUGGAAAGCCUGUGCCUCUCCUUGGCUGGAGUUAACACACCAGCCCCCACAGACUGCCCACCCACUUCAACCUUAAUCGCUGGCGUGCCUGUACAAUCACCAGUUUCACUUCACUACAUAUUUCCUCCCCCAGAGCUUCGCUUAUAAAGCAGGAGGCACUAAUAAUCUACGAUGAUCCCACGCCAGCCUCCUGUCAUGGCUUAGUGCUCUGUGGCUGGAACACACUGCUGAGCCGUGGCUAUCUGCACAGCCUCACAGGCAGGCUUCAUUCCCCUUCCAUUUUCCAGACCUUCCUUGGAUGUGGAUGCCUUAACUCCACCAAAAAAAUUCUCAGCCCUCUCUGUAUUUAAGGACAUCACCCUCCACUUGCAGGCAAGCUCAGCAGGAGCCAAAAGCCUGGAUCUGGAAGUGCUUGAUAGCAAGGCAGGAGGGAUGGUUUGAGAUCUGAACUCCAGGAUGUGCUGCAGGACCCUGGUCUGCUGGGGCACAAAAGCUGACACAUCCUCCAUGCUCAGUAUAGGUGUGGGUAGAUAUCCCCCAUUACUUGAGGGAGAGAAUGGGAAGGGCAGAAGUGCAAAAACUCAUAAAUUGAGAUAAAGACAGUUUGAUAAAGGAAGCGAAAGCUGCAUGCACAAACAAAGCGAAGUCAGGAAUUUAUUCCUUCCCUCCUAUCAACAGACAGGUGUUCAGCCACUACCAUCACAUGUCAUGGGGACUUGGAAAACAAACACACUGACCAUCCCCUCUUCCUCCUUCUUUCCACGAACUGAGCACAUCUCACACUAUGGGAUAUCCCUCUGGUCAGCAGAGCUCAGCUGUCCUGAUUGCGUCGUUUCCCCCCCCCCCCCCAGCUCCUUGUGCACCCCAGCCUGCUUGGUACACAAGCACUGCUCAGCAACAGCUAAAACAGAGUGUUAUCUACACUGUUUUGGUCAAAUUUGGACAACUAUAUCAGCAAACCCACUACAACAGAGCCCUGACUGACUCAGGCUGGAUGAGUGCAACCUGGAGAUCUGCUCUCAACUCCCCUAGCUGCUGCUCUCAGAAGGGACUACUCUCAUUUACUGUCUGGAAGGGGAAUGAUGCCACAGUGCCACUGAGCUCACAGGGACCAUCUUCCCUUCAUGGUAUCUCUGUGACAUUAACCUUGACCAGGUUAGCUGAAUCAGCUGUGUUCCACAUGUAGUUACAGCCUCCUUGCAAGAGCUGCAAAGUGUCACUGCAGUUAGGUUGUGGCUGGCAAGCAGUCUGACAUAUUCCACCAGUCAAGGUCCCCUUGGAAAGGUCCGUAAGAAUGAGGGAGAUUUAGAAAGUGCCAAAGGGCUCCUGAAUAAAAGAGAUAGGGACAGCUGGAGGAGUCAUGCUUGCAGGGCCAGACAUUCCAAGGGAUGGUGCCUAAAGAUACAGCCUCCGUCUCACCAGUCAUAAAAGGUUUCCAGUCCUCAAAACAGCAAGGUGAGACAGCCUACCAGGAAAAUAAGAAUUAGUGAGCUGAAAAAUGACCAAAAAUGGAAUUGCAAGACAAUACCACAGCUCUCUAGGGUGGUCUGGAUGGCUCAGGAGCUCCAUUCCCCACAAUUCCCAGCAAGGCCCUUUCACUGGCAUGGGUGGGAGCUGCAGGCCAGGUCCACUCACAUGUCUGAGUGCUCACUUUCUUCUGACUGCUCCAAGGGUUUGGAGUCAACAGUAAAACCAGUCAGUACAAUUAAAGCGGGGAAGAGCAGGACUGGUGUAGAAGCACGGAAAGAAAGCGGUGACUGUGCUUAGAAAUUGGAAAAGUGCUUUAAAAAGAAGUAUUCCACAUAAUUUAAGUCCUGUACAUAUAACGCUGUCCUGUCUCCUCUGUCCCAGAGGAUGAUUUCACAAAACCUUUUAAACUCUGUAACCUGUACAACAAUUCUGAGUUUAUGUGGAUGCUGCCUGAAGCUCACUUGUGCCUGUUACAGGAGGACGCUGGCAAUUAAUUGAUUUGUUUUUCAAACUGACCAAUUCUGAGCCCAAUAUUGAAGCACAAUGGCUACCUGCACCUGGGUGCAAGUGUGGGAGAAACCUGAUCCUGAGAAGACGACACUGCAUGGGCCACCUUGGGCUCCCUCUGACUUUAGUCAUGCCCAUGUGAGCUGUAUGCAGGCAUGCAAGGCAGUCUGGGUUUGGACUAUCAAACACUCACAACAAACAACUCACUAAUAAGCUGCAGACCAAGAUGUUCUUUUUUCAGAGACUGUUCAAUAAAUGUUUCCAAAUAAGAAGUUUCUAUGGGAAAAACCUAGCCUUUUCCUACAGACAGCUCACAUUCCGGAAAAAAGGCAACAUUGCUCACAUGAAUUAUUCAUCACAAAUUACUCACCCAGUUCUUGCAGCCAGUGGUGCUUUUCCUCUACCUGGAGCUGUAGAAAAGCCAAGUUGUGUCCCUUCAGAGAGAGGGGAAGGGUCAUCUCAACCAACCGUGAGACAUCUGGCCAACAUAAGUGGCUCAUCGCACCUCCUAUGACAGACACAGUUUGCUGUGGGAUCUGUCUGCCAUCAGGAUGUUGGGCGUCCCCCUCCCUCAUCCAGCCGGGCACACCUGGGUAAGCAGUGCUUACUUGGGUGAGGAGGCAGCUUCCACGCUCAGCUAAGCUGAGUUGGACAGCGUGGUGGAGAUGAGAGUAACGUGAGAGCUAUGGCAGGAGGAGGCAUGGUUCUCACAUUUGCAGUGCACUGCCAAGUGAAAGAAGGGUUCACUAUGAGACAACCUGUGGCUGGGAAAGGGACUAGCUCCACUCUUGGCUGCUUGUCAAAGCUAGCUAUUUUGCAAUAUUAAUAAAACCAGUGAGUCCAUCUUCUGCAAGACAAGUUCUAAUUUCUCCAGCAAAUUCAGCAGCAGACAGUCAUGCCAAGACAGGCGGUCGGUGCAGCUUCUUCGGAGCUUUGAAUCUGCAGGAGAACAUACAGGUACAACCAAAAUAAACAAGAAAAGUAAAACUCACAGCACAGCCUGCGUGGAGGCACGCAGGGAGGAACUAGAGGCAUUGCACAAGUGCGUGCUCAAAUACCUCACCAGCAUCGCAUGCUCAGGACAGCCACAGAGCAGCCACAGGCUAGAGCUGCAUAGACGCAGAGAUGAAGGUGUCUUUGGGGCUCACGAUGGGAUUUUCCUUGUGGCUUCUUCUGUGAAUGUCCCUUCUGCAGCAGAACACAAGAUAACGGGACUGAGCCGCUGCCUCUGGAAAGGCUUCUGGGGAGGCACAGGGUGCUUCUGAAGCCACAGCAGCGUUAAAUGAUGUGUUUGCAUGUACGUGUGUUUGUACAGACACACCAUAUUUUCCAUGUCUACAACACUGCUGUGUAUCAGAAGUCCCUUUUGCACAGAAGUGGUUUGUCUGCUCAGUACUAACCUUCAAGAAGCCAUAUACUGUGUUCCCAAUACAUUGUUGUAGAAAGAAAAUCAGAAACAGCAAGUAGCAGCAAAUCAGCAAACCAGGGGACGAAGCACCUGAAGUUCCAGAUCAGUGAAACUUCACUGCAGAACAGAGCAACGCUUGGGAGGGUUUUCCUCUUCAAAACGCAGCUCAUCCACAGGUGGUAUCUGCCACACUUGGUAGAAUGCCAUUGUUCAUCAUCAACACCAAAGUCAUAAGAGAAAACAAAUACAGCCUUCACAGGGAACUCCGCAAGGUCCCAGCGCUGUGAUGGCAGCAGCCAGGCUGCUCACUGGCAUAUAACAAUGUCCAUCUCCCAGUCCAAAUUUGCCAAGCUUCUGUGUGCCAUCAACAAGGGAGGCAUCCCAGAGCUUCAUUGCAAAUGCACACCACCUUCCUUGGGGUCAAAGCAUUAACCUUCAUUAGGGUUUUACAAUAAAUAUGGCUUGUAUAAAUUCAGAGUUAUGUCCUUCUUUCUUUAUACAUCCAGAAGUCUUGUCUGCUCCCAUAAAGCUAUCACCCAUGACUUCCAAUUCCCAAGACACAGCCAUUCAUCAUGUAAUAGCCCCGAUGCAUGCCAUUCGAGGUGUCAGGCAUUAUUCUGCAUCUCUUGCCACACUUUUCAGUGCAGCCAAGGUGAGGUUUUAGAGCAUCUCCUCAGGCUGCACUGCACAGAGCUCUGCACCUGAGACAAAGCAGCACAUCAUCACAUCUUCAAAAUCAGGGCACACAUUUCUCUAACUGACAGCAUGUUAAGUGGAUAUUAUUCUUCAGCACUGCGAGUGCAUACUGCAACUAGUUUAAAAGGAAUUACUGGCAGUGAGGCAACCCUGGACUUGAGCAUUUUUGUUUCGUCUUUCUCUGAACCUGACAACAGAACAAUGCAGACUUUCAGACUUACCAGACUGCUGAGGUCCGUGUGCCACGGGUGUACACGAAAGCCAAUUUGAAGAGAUUAAGUGGCAAUUUGAACCAGCAGUUCCUCAGAAGUGAUGUUCUCCCUUGGCAGAGGUCCCUCCAGCAGAAGACGUGAGCGUGCGUUCCAGUACAUGCAUUCCAGUGAACGACGCUUCUUGCCAUCUUCCUCCUCCUCCAGCGUCUUUCAUCUGCUUGAAAUUUAGAGGGUGAUUUAGCAGACCCAAAUUUGGCUCUUAAUGAAGGCGAUCUGACUUGUCAAUCUCUCCUGUGGCUGUUGCAAGAAUCCUUGAUAAUAACUUGGGUGGGAUCCACCCUCAGAAGGCAGUGCCUAACACUAGGCCAUCUGGACACCCACCAUGUGCCAAACACCAUCGUUCACAUUUAGUCCAGCUUCCUGCUCAAGUCAAAUGGUAUUUUGAUGAGUGAC